UGUGGCUGUUGCCAAGGUGGGCUCCAGGAAGCCAUGCUCAGGGGUCCUGCGCAUCAGCACCUCCCCCUCUUGCUCACGUUUGAUCCCUACGUCUGUGGAGCCGUGUUGGAUCGGUGAGCCAGAUGCAGCAACAAAGCUUUAUGACAAAAUUAUUUCAAAGCAAGCCUUUUGCUACAACUACACUGAAGAUGGCAUCACAUCAAGUGCUCUGAAGAUGUAAAAUAUUAUACAUUGUUAUGGAGUAUCACUUUUCAAAAACAAACAAAACCCCAACCAACUGUUCUGCAAACAUCCAAAGAAGCC